rnacentral:lncRNA from 1 species
UAGGCAAGAGAGUUCCCACCAAGCAAUCCUUCAAGAAGCAUCCGAAAUUUUCAAAAGCUGGCAAUGGAAUUGAUGUUUGCAAUUGUGAGAAGUAUCAAUGUCCAAUUGAAAAUUGGGGAUACUGGUGUUUACUGACGAAUGAAAAUAAGUAUAGAGCUGUUAAAACCAACGAAUUCCUUCUGGAAGCACAAUCAAGUGACUUACAUCAUGGUCUGGUUUUCUGUAAUCACAAGAGUGAAUUCACUCUGCCAUAGAUCUAUCUCCAUACAACAAUCGGCUCAUCUAUCAGUGUGUUGCAUCUGAUAGCAUCAAGACUCAAAAAUUGAACCAUAAACGAUCUCAACCUCAGUGUCUAGCCCAGUGCGUGUGUAUUCUCAAAAUUUGACUUGUUCUUUGCUCCUUGGGGUAUAAAAAAUUUUAGCCAGGAUAAAUAGAGCCUUCAUGAAGCAUUUACAGAUUAUAGGCAUUUGAAACUCAGAACUAGUGAAUUCUUAGAUAUGGCCAGAUCAGACAAGUUCUACCAAUUUAUUUUGGCACUGUAUCUUCUUAGUUUUGCUUCAAUCUACCACUUCAAGCAUUGUCCAGAAUUGUUGAUCCGAUCCUCUUGAAUAUCCUUGUUUCUUUGAAACUUGCAACAGGGCAAUCGAUCCUCUUCCAAGGGAACCUAAGAUAUUGAUUUGAACGUUCAUCUACAUUACCUUUGACAUACCUUUGCAUCACUGCAUGCAUUGUAAUGUUUACCGUCAACUUGGUAUUCGUUUUAGACGAUAACUUGAUAACGGAUGUCAGCCAUGCAGCGUUGAAAGCAAUUAUCAACCAAGCUUCCUCUCAUGGAUUGUCACUUCUCUGUGGUGUUUUAGGCGAGGUUUUGAAACUUGGCACUUAACCUCUUUCAAUAACUCA